rnacentral:rRNA from 1 species
AGUCGAGGGGCAGCACGGCAGCAAUGCUGGUGGCGACCGGCGCACGGGUGCGUAACGCGUAUGCAACCUACCUUAUGCAGGGGGAUAGCCCAUGGAAACGUGGAUUAAUACCCCAUAGAACAGUAGCUCCGCAUGGAUUUACUGUUAAAACUUCGGUGGCAUAAGAUGGGCAUGCGUCUGAUUAGCUUGUUGGUGGGGUAACGGCCCACCAAGGCUACGAUCAGUAGGGGUUCUGAGAGGAUUAUCCCCCACACUGGUACUGAGACACGGACCAGACUCCUACGGGAGGCAGCAGUGAGGAAUAUUGGUCAAUGGGCGCGAGCCUGAACCAGCCAUCCCGCGUGCAGGAUGACGGCCCUAUGGGUUGUAAACUGCUUUUCUACGCCAAGAAAUCUCCCGACGAGUCGGGAGUUGCCAGUAGCGUAGGAAUAAGCAUCGGCUAACUCCGUGCCAGCAGCCGCGGUAAUACGGAGGAUGCAAGCGUUAUCCGGAUUCAUUGGGUUUAAAGGGUGCGCAGGUGGGUCUGUAAGUCAGUGGUGAAAUGUUGCCGCUUAACGGUAAAAUUGCCAUUGAUACUGCAGGUCUUGAGUAUGGUUGAGGUAGGCGGAAUGUGUUGUGUAGCGGUGAAAUGCAUAGAUAUGACACAGAACUCCGAUUGCGAAGGCAGCUUACUAAGCCAUUACUGACGCUGAGGCACGAAAGCGUGGGGAGCGAACAGGAUUAGAUACCCUGGUAGUCCACGCCGUANACGAUGUUCACUCGCUGUNUGCGAUACACAGUAAGCGGCUGAGCGAAAGCAUUAAGUGAACCACCUGGGG